AUUGAACGCUGGCGGCAGGCCUAACACAUGCAAGUCGAACGGUAGCAGGAAGAAGCUUGCUUCUUUGCUGACGAGUGGCGGACGGGUGAGUAAUGUCUGGGAAACUGCCUGAUGGAGGGGGAUAACUACUGGAAACGGUAGCUAAUACCGCAUAACGUCGCAAGACCAAAGAGGGGGACCUUCGGGCCUCUUGCCAUCGGAUGUGCCCAGAUGGGAUUAGCUAGUAGGUGGGGUAACGGCUCACCUAGGCGACGAUCCCUAGCUGGUCUGAGAGGAUGACUGGCCACGCUGGAACUGAGACACGGUCCAGACUCCUACGGGAGGCAGCAGUGGGGAAUAUUGCACAAUGGGCGCAAGCCUGAUGCAGCCAUGCCGCGUGUAUGAAGAAGGCCUUCGGGUUGUAAAGUACUUUCAGCGGGGAGGAAGGGAGUAAAGUUAAUACCUUUGCUCAUUGACGUUACCCGCAGAAGAAGCACCGGCUAACUCCGUG
rnacentral:rRNA from 1 species